rnacentral:tRNA from 1 species
ACCGUGAUAGCUCAGCUGGUGGAGCAUCUGCCCGGUGAUGCGGAGGGUCGCCGGUUCGUUCCCGGCUCGCGGCG